AACUAUUCAUUCUAAAAAAAAUAAUAUGUAAUUUGACUACACUACUCCUAAUUAAAUAGACAUUGAACUUUGAUCAUAUAACACUUAAUAGAAAUAAAUUUAAAAAGAUAAGAUUAAUUAUUUCUUUAUUUAAUAAAUAAAUACUUUUGUUAACAAAAAAAAGGCUAAACAAACAAUUUUUUUUUUAUCCGGAGGGAGUGAAAAACAAAGACUUGCCUUUCCCUUGGUUUUAGAUCCCACCAAAUGCCUCAGAUCUAACGCAGGUAGGGCCAAUAACGUCAUUUCAAAGCUAUUAUCCCGUAAAAUCUUACACCAGAUUUUCAUUUUCUCCCUACUUUCCCUUCACCAAAAAUCCCCGAUCAUUUCUCCUCCGCCGUGCACCACCACCGUCAAAAUGACGAAACUACCCUUCCUCCUCCUUCUCCUCCUCCUCUCCCUAACCUCGCCCACUUUCGCCGAAAUAAAAAACCUCAAAAUCCGAUCCGAUAACCGACCCAUGAUCCUCUUCGAACGAUUCGGGUUCACACACACUGGCCAAACAUCCAUUUCCGUUUCAUCCGUUUCCGUUAUCCCCACCGUAACGACCCCUGAUCUCUCCCGCUUAGGAUUCUUCCUCCUUUCUGAAGAAUCCCUAAUUCAAGUCCUAAUUGAACUUCAACAAAAGCCUAAUUUCUGUGUACUUGAUUCCAAUUUCGUACAACAUUUAUUCACUUUUCGUGAUCUUUCUCCUCCACCUAAUUCGUCGUUUGAUAACACUUAUCCUGUCACUUCACCUAAUGAAUACUUGCUUUUUUUCGCGAAUUGUGCACCUGAAUCGAAGGUUUCUAUGGAUGUAAGGACUGAGCUUUAUAAUCUCGAUGGUCGCGUUAAAGAUUAUCUCUCUGCAGGUACUGAUUUACAGGACGACGCCUCUGCUCAUUAGGAUCUGCACGUACCAUCUUAUUGAGCUCGUAGUAGGUUCCUCUUCUGCACCUCGUGAGUGAUCCGGAGGCUCAGUUUCAGACUUUCCAGGGUGAGCAUUUGAUGGAUUUCGCAGCUCGGAGAUUCUUUUAUCCUUACUUGUCUUUUCUUUGUAUUCUUAGAUAGUAUUUAUAUGUCAGACUUGUAGUCUUCAAACUUAUAGUAUUUAGUGGCUCUUGUACAGAUUCAGAUCAGAUUCUGGGGAUGAUGUAUUAGUAUUCCGCACUUAGUAGUUUGUUUUGGUUUGGAGACUGCUUAA